GAUGAAGAACGUAGCGAAAUGCGAUAAGUAAUGUGAAUUGCAGAAUUCAGUGAAUCAUCGAAUCUUUGAACGCACAUUGCGCCCCUUGGUAUUCCGAGGGGCAUGCCUGUUCGAGCGUCAUAUUAACCACUCCCGCUUGCGGGGUCUUGGGCUUCGCCUCCGGGCGGGCCUUAAAAUCAGUGGCGGUGCCGUCGGGCUCUACGCGUAGUAAAUUUUCUCGCGAUAGGGUCCCGGUGGAUGCUUGCCAACAACCCCCAACUUCUUAAGGUUGACCUCGGAUCAGGUAGGGAUACCCGCUGAACUUAUGCAUAUCAAUAAGCGGAGG
rnacentral:misc_RNA from 1 species